rnacentral:rRNA from 1 species
CUUGAGACCGGCGCACGGGUGCGUAACGCGUAUGCAACCUACCUAUUGCAGGGGAAUAGCCCAGGGAAACUUGGAUUAAUGCCCCAUAGUCCAUAUUGAGAGCAUUUGAUAUAUGGUAAAGAUUUAUCGGCAAUAGAUGGGCAUGCGUCCCAUUAGCUAGUUGGUGUGGUAACGGCACACCAAGGCUACGAUGGGUAGGGGCCCUGAGAGGGGGAUCCCCCACACUGGUACUGAGACACGGACCAGACUCC